ACCAUAAUCUUGCUUCAAACACUACUGAAAUCGUCUUCCUUUGUCAAUUUUUUCACAGGUUUGGUAAUUAAUUCUUAACAUUCAAAGCUAUUAUCACUCCCCGACAACGGUGCCAAAAUGUGAUUGCUCGUUUUACUUAUUCCAAAUUAAUCUAAUGAGAAUAAAUCCGUAUAAGGGGAUUCGAACACGGAAAAUGACUAGUUGCUUAAGCAUUCAUGUUAAGGUCACACAAUCAAUUACCUCCUAAAUGUAUCAUCUCUAUUUCCAAUAUCUUAACAUAUAAGAAAACUAUAAUAUCCUCCUUCAUCUUAUCGGUCUCUUCCUUACAGCAAUUCAGUCAUACCAAUAACUUCUAUUUCCACCAAUAUAUUCACCCUCAUAAUCUCUAAUUGUAAUACUGUGCCGUGAUAGCUUUCAGUACACAAUUACCCUCAUUCUAAUCAAUGGAAUUCUUCACACAAAACUGCCAUUCACAUUACAGUGUUUCACACAAACACAAACUCAUUCUCUCUACUGAACUAUAAUCAGAUUUUAGCAUUCAAUCUUUCUUCUUCUCAAAUAAUACCAAUCAUAUUUCCAUUCCAUAAUUCACUUCACAAUAUUCAGAAACUCUCAAUCCGCUUAUUCAAAGAAAAUAACAAACAAAAGAAAAGAAGUAGCACCAAGCUUACCCUGGCUCACACUAUCACAGCGAUGGCCCUCGGCUCAUGACUCUCACAGUGUGGCACUCUAAUUAACUUCUACAACUCCUACAUACUUUUUCUUGAUUCUUCAAAUUGUAAUCGUAAUUCUAUAAUUAGUUGUUUUUAAUAACUAAAUCACUCAUCUGUCCUCUUGAAUUUCCUAUUAUAUGGACUAUUAGUAUAUUUUACCAAUAU
rnacentral:lncRNA from 1 species